rnacentral:tRNA from 1 species
GCCGGGGUAGCUCAGCCUGGUUAGAGCGCCGGACUCAUAAUCCGGAGGUCGCGGGUUCGAAUCCCGCCCCCGGCACCA